rnacentral:rRNA from 1 species
GACGUAGGUGGCGAACGUUAUCCGGAAUUAUUGGGCGUAAAGGGUGCGUAGACGGCAUGACGAGUUAUUGGCGGGAAAUCGAGGCUCAACCUCGUGGAAACUAGUAAUACUGUUUUGCUUGAGUACAGGAGAGGUUAACGGAACUCCAUGUGGAGCGGUAAAAUGUGUAGAUAUAUGGAAGAACACCAAUAACGGCGAAGGCAGUUAACUAUUCUGUUACUGACGUUGAGGCACGAAAGCGUGGGGAGCAAAACGG